CCUACGGGUGGCAGCAGUGAGGAAUAUUGGUCAAUGGGCGGGAGCCUGAACCAGCCAAGUCGCGUGAAGGAAGAAGGUACUUAGUAUUGUAAACUUCUUUUGUAGGGGCACAAAGGCGGAGACGAGUCUCCGGAUGAGUGUACCCUAAGAAAAAGCAUCGGCUAACUCCGUGCCAGCAGCCGCGGUAAUACGGAGGAUGCGAGCGUUAUCCGGAUUUAUUGGGUUUAUAGGGUGCGCAGGCGGAUUUUUAAGUCAGCGGUCAAAUCGUGGGGCUCAACCCCAUCCAGCCGUUGAAUCUGGUUUUCUUGAGUGAGCGAGAAGUAUGCGGAAUGCGUGGUGUAGCGGUGAAAUGCAUAGAUAUCACGCAGAACUCCGAUUGCGAAGGCAGCAUACCGGCGCGCAACUGACGCUCAGGCACGAAAGUGUGGGGAUCGAACAGGAUUAGAUACCCGGGUAGUC
rnacentral:rRNA from 1 species